GAGUAACGCGUAGGUAAUCUAUCCUUAUAUUUGGGAUAACAUUGGGAAACUGGUGCUAAUACCGAAUACCCUUCUUUGCUGCGGGGCGAAGGAGGAAAGGUGGCCUCUUCAUGAAAGCUACCGUAUAGGGAUGAGCCUGCGUACCAUUAGCUAGUAGGUGGGGUAACGGCCCACCUAGGCAACGAUGGUUAGCGGGUCUGAGAGGAUGAUCCGCCACACUGGAACUGAAACACGGACCAG
rnacentral:rRNA from 1 species